UACGUAGGGGGCAAGCGUUGUCCGGAUUUAUUGGGCGUAAAGAGCGUGUAGGCGGCUUGGCAAGUCCGCUGUGAAAACUCGAGGCUCAACCUCGAGACGUCGGUGGAAACUGCCUCGCUAGAGUCCGGAAGAGGAGAGUGGAAUUCCUGGUGUAGCGGUGAAAUGCGCAGAUAUCAGGAGGAACACCGGUGGCGAAGGCAGCUCGCUGGGACGUUACUGACACUGAGGCGCGAAAGCGUGGGGAGCGAACAGG
rnacentral:rRNA from 1 species